rnacentral:lncRNA from 1 species
CCUCAGUCUCAAGAAGAGAGAACAAACAACCAUGUGCCAGCUCAUUCAAUGAAUUCUAGCGUCUUCCUGUUGAGCAUCAGGACCAAGAAUGCAAAGAAGAACACAAGAAGAGUAAAGAGACAAAAGUGACAAAAGCCUGGAGAGGAUGGGAGGCCCUGGGGAAAAGGACAAGACCCAGCCUGCCAGAUCUACAACCGUCAGAGAUCUUCUCACAGGAGUUUGGAUCUGAAUUCCAAGUACACAAAGACAGACAUAAACCGUACAUAGAAACCUCAUUCCUACCACAGUUCUACAAAAAAUUGAG